CCCUUAGAUGUUCUGGGCCGCACGCGCGCUACAAUGAUGAAUUCAACGAGUUUAUAACCUUGGUUGAAAAGCCUGGGUAAUCUUUUGAACUUUCGUCGUGAUGGGGCUAGACCCUUGCAAUUAUUGGUCUCCAACGAGGAAUUCCUAGUAAACGCAAGUCAUCAGCUUGCAUUGAUUACGUCCCUGCCCUUUGUACACACCGCCCGUCGCACCUACCGAUUGAAUGGUCCGGUGAGCUCUUCGGACUGCGCGGUCUGCAGUUUCUGCGUUCCGUGCGGAAAGUUGCGCAAACCUUAACAUUUAGAGGAAGGAGAAGUCGUAACA
rnacentral:rRNA from 1 species